AUGAGCUACAGCGGGAGCGGCGGAGGGAAGCGCCUCCGCACGUCGCCGAGCGAGGCGGAGGGGAGCCCCAGGCGCCGUCGUGGGUCGCCGUCGGUCUACUCUCCGUCGCCGUCGCCCUACCGGUCGCCCUCGCCGUUGCCGUCCCCGUCGACCUACAGGUCGCUUUCGCACUCGCCGUCGCCCUGCCGCUCGUGGUCGCAGAGGCCGCCCAGCGACGACGAUGCCGACGAUCUGAGCCGCAGCCGCGGGUCGGACGACCUCGACCGGCACGGCCGGAGGCCUGCCUGGAGGCCGCACGCGAACAAGGAGCUGGGCGAGCAUGGGCGCACCGGCGAGUUCAGCGUCCGGAUCGACGACUACGACCGCCUCUUCACCUGCAAGGCCUGCCGCCGCAUGCUCUCGCCGCCGGUCUACCAGUGCCCCUUCGCCCACGUCACCUGCUCGAGGUGCCACGAGGAAGUCGGGGACAACCGAUGCAGCUGCUGCGGCAGCAGCAAUGGCUAUGGGCGCAACCGCGUCGUCGAGGAGUUCCUAGGCCGCAUCCGCUUCUCCUGCCGCAACAAAGUGCAUGCCUGUGAGGCCUUCCUUCCGCACCAUGAGAUGCGCGAGCAUGAGCAGACCUGCCGCCACGAGCCUAUCUUCUGCCCUGUUCCCCAAUGCGGCUUCGCCAGCCGGGCUGUCGCACUCACGACCCACCUCACCCUCCGCCACCACUGGGACACGAUCAGGUUUCACUAUGAUGAGAACUUCCGGGCCUCUGCCUUCACGUCGACCAUCUUCCAGAGCCGCGACGACGGCGAGCUGUUCUUCCUCGACAGCUUCAGCGAGGGCCGUGGCAUUGCUUUGUCCAUGAUCUGCAUCCGCCCUGAGAACGCCCGUGAGCAGGAGUUUGUGUAUGAGCUGAAGACGCCGGUAGGCAACGGCGGCAGACGGCCCUGGCUGCAGAUGCAGUCGACGGCGCGGAACACAUCGCUGCGUCACGGGCUGGGGGAGAAGGAGAAGGUCUUUCUGCUGGUCCCCAAGGACCUGCCGGGCACCGAGGAUGGCAACGUGGAGGUGUGCAUCCGUAAGCUUGGCCGCCAGCGUGACUCUGUAUAG
rnacentral:rRNA from 1 species